AACGAACGCUGGCGGCAUGCCUAACACAUGCAAGUCGAACGGAACCUUCGGGAUUAGUGGCGGACGGGUGAGUAACACGUGGGAACGUGCCCUUUGGUUCGGAACAACUCACGGAAAGUUGAGCUAAUACCGGAUGUGCCCUUCGGGGGAAAGAUUUAUCGCCAUUGGAUCGGCCCGCGUCUGAUUAGCUAGUUGGUGAGGUAACGGCCCACCAAGGCGACGAUCCAUAGCUGGUCUGAGAGGAUGAUCAGCCACACUGGGACUGAGACGCGGCCCAGACUCCUACGGGAGGCAGCAGUGGGGAAUAUUGCGCAAUGGGCGAAAGCCUGACGCAGCCAUGCCGCGUGAAUGAUGAAGGGCUUAGGAUUGUAAAAUUCUUUUAGCGGGGACGAUAAUGACGGUACCGGGAGAAGAAGCUCCGGCUAACUUCGUG
rnacentral:rRNA from 1 species